rnacentral:rRNA from 1 species
GACGAACGCUGGCGGCGUGCUUAACACAUGCAAGUCGAACGGAAAGGCCUCUUUCGGGGGGUACUCGAGUGGCGAACGGGUGAGUAACACGUGAGUAACCUGCCCUUGACUUUGGGAUAACUUCAGGAAACUGGGGCUAAUACCGGAUAGGAGCUCCUGCUGCAUGGUGGGGGUUGGAAAGUUUCGGCGGUUGGGGAUGGACUCGCGGCUUAUCAGCUUGUUGGUGGGGUAGUGGCUUACCAAGGCUUUGACGGGUAGCGGGCCUGAGAGGGUGACCGGCCACAUUGGGACUGAGAUACGGCCCAGACUCCUACGGGAGGCAGCAGUGGGGAAUAUUGCACAAUGGGUGGAAGCCUGAUGCAGCAACGCCGUGUGCGGGAUGACGGCCUUCGGGUUGUAAACCGCUUUCGCUCAUGACGAAGCUUUGUGUGACGGUAGUGGGUAAAGAAGCACCGGCUAACUACGUG